AUUAUCAGACAUGCUGAUGUCAAUUCCAGAAGCUUGUUUUCAUGGCUUUCCCCUGACUAGUUAUUUAUCAUAUCUUUAAAGAAAAUUCCAUGCUAAUGAUUUGUAUGUUGACAACUUGAUGUUAGUGUAUCCAUUUGACAUCCCUCAUCACUGGAAAAGUGAUAUAUCAGCGUGGAUAUUGUUAUCGCCCAAUGUUUAAACGUGUUCUUAUGUGUUAAAGGUGCAUGUUCCACAAAUCAGUUAAUAGAUUUAUUUGGAAAUAUAUUAUAGGUGAGGGUCAUAGCUGCCUCUAAGCUGAGGCAUACUUUGAUAAUUUUGAAGGCUCCAUAAGUUGCUACAUUGCUUUGGAAGUUGUGCUAUUUUUAUAUCAAAUGUAAAUUACCUCAGGUUUGGACAUCUAGAAUUAAUUUAUUCAGGAUCAAAGCAUUUUUGUGAGUAGAAAUUGUAUUCAUUUUCUGUCUCAUCCCCCCUUUUCCUAACCACACCAAGAGGCA
rnacentral:misc_RNA from 1 species